rnacentral:rRNA from 1 species
AACGAACGCUGGCGGCAUGCCUAACACAUGCAAGUCGAACGAGACCUUCGGGUCUAGUGGCGCACGGGUGCGUAACGCGUGGGAACCUGCCCUUAGGUUCGGAAUAACUCCCCGAAAGGGGUGCUAAUACCGGAUAACGUCCUCGGACCAAAGAUUUAUCGCCUUUGGAGGGGCCCGCGUUGGAUUAGCUAGUUGGUAGGGUAAAAGCCUACCAAGGCGACGAUCCAUAGCUGGUCUGAGAGGAUGAUCAGCCACACUGGGACUGAGACACGGCCCAGAAUCCUACGGGAGGCAGCAGAGGGGAAUAUUGGACAAUGGGCGAAAUCAUGAUCCAGCAAUGCCGCGUGAGUGAUGAAGGCCUUAGGGUUGUAAAGCUCUUUUACCCGGGAUGAUAAUGACGGUACCGGGAGAAUAAGCUCCGGCUAACUCCGUG